CCUACGGGGAGCAGCAGUGGGGAAUAUUGGACAAUGGGGGGAACCCUGAUCCAGCGACGCCGCGUGAGUGAAGAAGUAUUUCGGUAUGUAAAGCUCUAUCAGCAGGGAAGAAAGGAAUGACGGUACCUGACUAAGAAGCCCCGGCUAACUACGUGCCAGCCACCGCGGUAAUACGUAGGGGGCAAGCGUUAUCCGGAUUUACUGGGUGUAAAGGGAGCGUAGACGGUUACGCAAGUCUGGAGUGAAAGGCGGGGGCCCAACCCCCGGACUGCUUUGGAAACUGUAUAACUGGAGUGCAGGAGAGGUAAGUGGAAGUCCUAGUGUAGCGGUGAAAUGCGUAGAUAUUAGGAGGAACACCAGUGGCGAAGGCGGCUUACUGGACUGUAACUGACGUUGAGGCUCGAAAGCGUGGGGAGCAAACAGGAUUAGAUACCCCAGUAGUC
rnacentral:rRNA from 1 species